GGACAGCCUCUCAGCCCCAGCAGCUCCAUGACCCUCUGGGAGUCCUGCCCUUCCCUCCGGCUCUGCUGUCUCUGCUGUCACCCCUCUGCCCUUUCAGACAGGAAUGCUGCCACCCUUGACCAUCUGCUCUUUCACCACCUUCACUUUCUGAGCUUCAGAAGCCAUGCAGGGGUCCUGUCUACCAGCCCACAGAAACCUCACCUUGAUUGCUGGGGCAAAGGUUAACACGGCGAUGUUACAGCACCACUGUGUUGUUCCUGUUGUUUAUGACAACGCCUGUGUCCUUUGCCUGAUCGUCGCUGGCCUCCAAGAGCUGGUGUGACCUUGUCUUUCUGCCUCCACACCCUACCCUCCUGCUGUGCCGGCCUGGCCACGAUCUCAGGGUAUGGUGUGACCCUCUGCGCCUCUGUGCCAUCAUUCACGCCCUUCCCUCUGCCUCAGUUCAGUUCCCACCUCUGAUUCCACUGGAAACAUUUGAUUCCGCAUGCCACCCACUCCAGAAAGACUUUUGCAAAAGUUCAUCAUUCUUUUUGCAGGGGUUUUAUGGCACCUUUAUUCCUGAAUAUAUAUACAUGUAAUUAUUAAUCAAACUAUGAUUAAUUGUUUAUGCAUCAUUCCCCUGGACUGUAAGCUCCUCUCUGGGAAUCAUGUCCUAUUUAUUGUAGUGGAAAUGAACAAUGAAUUCUAUCCUCAUAAGCAGCUAGUAAUUAUUUAUGCUUAAUGCAUAUUUGUUGACUGAUCAAAUGGAUGCGGAAUGAUGGCAGGCUCCAUAGGCGCAGGACACCAUGCCUAAUGCUGUGCUAGAUAUUUAAAAAGGAAACAAACAGUGAGUGUAUUCUCAGUAAGACUUGACCCAUUGGAAGAUUCCCAUCUCAAAGAAUUUCCUUGCUGAACCGGGAAUUGCUGGCAGGUAACAGCAAGCAGAGUUGACACUCCAGCUAAGUGCAACCAGGCAGCAGUGGACAGGUGGGGAGACCAGCCUGGGAUGAGAAGCCCUGAUUCCAGGACAGCUCACGUGUUAGCUUUGUGACUCCAGCCACCUUGAAACAUCGCCGAUCAUCACUGUCCUCAUCUGUGAGACAUGGCAUUUGGGUUACGUGGUCCCCAGAGCCCAGCCCAGUGUUAACACUUAGUGAUUAUUAAACACUAUGAAGUCAUCUGAUUUGCUGUCAAACUCAAAGCCAAGUUGUGCCAAGGAGACCCGCUUGUGAAUUUCUCGAUGGCUAAUAACCUUGACCGGACAAUAUAACUGUUCACAAGAGCUCUAAUAAAAAAUUAUAAUUCUUUU